GACGAACCGUGCGAACGUUGUUCGGAAUCAUUGGGCUUAAAGGGCGCGUAGGCGGGCCCGCAAGUCAGGGGUGAAAUCCCACGGCUCAACCGUGGAAGUGCCUCUGAUACUGCGGGCCUCGAGGGGGGUAGGGGCGUGCGGAACUUCCGGUGGAGCGGUGAAAUGCGUAGAUAUCGGAAGGAACACCGGUGGCGAAAGCGGCGCGCUGGACCCCUUCUGACGCUGAGGCGCGAAAGCCAGGGGAGCAAACAGG
rnacentral:rRNA from 1 species